AAUCUGCACUUUUUUCAACCUUCUUGUUUUCUUUCGGUGCUUCUCGCAUUUGCCCAAUCUCAUCUCUCUUUCGUCUCCGUCAAACAUCCCAUUUCUCUCACUCUCUUCAGAUAAUUUCAGAUGGCUUCCUCUACUCUAAUCUGCGAUACCGAGCCAUGGAAGAAUUUGAGGGCUCAUGUUGAGGAUAUUAAAAAGACUCACUUGCGUGAUUUGAUGAGUGACACGAAGAGAUGCCAGUCAAUGAUGGUCGAGUUUGACGGGUUGCUGUUGGACUACUCACGGCAGUGUGCCACUCUGGAAACCAUGGAUAAGCUCUUCAAAUUGGCAGAGGCAACAAAUCUCAAACAAAAAAUUGGCAGAAUGUACAAUGGAGAGCGUAUAAACAGUACAGAGAAUAGGCCAGUACUUCAUGUAGCUCUCCGUGCUCCAAGGGAUUCUGUUAUACAGAGUGAUGGCAAAAAUGUGGUCCCAGAUGUCUGGAAAGUUCUAGACAAGAUCCGAGUGUUUUCUGAGACAGUCCGCAGUGGUUCCUGGGUUGGAGCCACUGGAAAAGCAUUGACGGAUGUAAUUUCUGUGGGCAUUGGUGGCAGCUUCUUAGGCCCUCUUUUUGUGCACACUGCUCUGCAAACAGAUCCAGAGGCUAGUAAAUUUGCAAAAGGGCGCCAGCUGCGUUUCCUUGCAAAUGUUGAUCCUGUCGAUGUGGCUAGAAAUAUCACAGGGCUGAACCCUGAAACUACUUUAGUUGUGGUGGUUUCGAAGACUUUUACAACAGCUGAAACUAUGUUGAAUGCCCGUACUCUAAGGGAAUGGAUUUCAGCUGCUCUAGGGCCUUCAGCAGUAGCAAAGCAUAUGGUGGCUGUCAGUACUAAUCUUACGCUUGUAGAACAAUUUGGCAUUGAUCCUAAUAAUGCUUUUGCAUUCUGGGACUGGGUAGGAGGCCGAUAUAGUGUUUGCAGUGCUGUUGGUGUGCUGCCUUUAUCUCUCCAAUAUGGUUUCUCAGUUGUUGAGAAGUUCCUGAAGGGAGCUUCAAGCAUUGAUCAACAUUUCUAUUCAGCACCAUUUGAGAAGAACAUACCUGUGCUUUUAGGUUUGUUGAGUGUAUGGAACGUUUCAUUUCUUGGAUAUCCUGCAAGAGCAAUCUUACCAUACUCCCAAGCCCUGGAGAAGUUUGCCCCACAUAUCCAACAGGUUAGCAUGGAGAGUAAUGGAAAGGGUGUCUCAAUUGAUGGUGUGCCACUUCCAUUUGAGGCUGGUGAAAUUGAUUUUGGUGAGCCGGGAACAAAUGGUCAGCACAGCUUUUACCAACUAAUUCACCAGGGCCGUGUUAUUCCUUGUGAUUUUAUUGGUGUUGUAAAGAGUCAGCAACCUGUGUACCUGAAAGGUGAAGUGGUGAGUAACCACGAUGAGCUCAUGUCUAACUUCUUUGCACAGCCAGAUGCCCUUGCUUAUGGAAAGACCCCAGAACAAUUGCAAAAUGAGAAUGUUCUGCAGCAUCUUAUUCCUCACAAGACAUUCUCUGGCAACCGGCCUUCUUUGAGCCUUCUGCUUCCAUCACUGAAUGCUUAUAAUAUUGGACAGUUGUUGGCAAUCUAUGAACAUAGAAUUGCUGUGGAAGGUUUUGUAUGGGGUAUCAAUUCUUUUGACCAGUGGGGAGUUGAGUUAGGGAAGUCAUUGGCAUCUCAAGUCCGAAAGCAACUUAAUUCAGCUCGAACGAAGGGAAAACCAGUUGAAGGAUUUAACUACAGCACUACUACUUUGUUAAAGAGAUAUCUGGAGACUUGUCUGCAUUUGACUGUAGCAAAGAUCUAGAAUCUGAGAGAGCCUUUAUAAGCAUUAAAUUUGAAAACUUGACACAUGGGGCUUGCAUUUUCAUUGGUUCAAGAUCCAUGAUCGAUUAAUCGGUUCUUAGUGGAGUAUUCAGCUGUUUUUGAUGAUUGUGACAUUUAAUUUCUUCAAUUUCUUGGGAGGGUGAAUGGAACUGAUUUGUAAAUGCAUGCCUCCUGUGAAGUGAAGAAUAAGGCAAGUUCGGAUAUUCCUUCUGAUCCUUGCACCCUUCUACCACAGAUGUAACUGUUUUGUGUUUUGGUUGUUGUUCUCUCAACUCAAGUUUAUCUAUGGAUGCUGCUAAUCCAUAAUCCGCAACUGAGUUUUUUGACCAUUCUGAAGUUCAUUUGCCUUGAGUUCUUCACACUGCAUAAUUUUGACUUGUAUUAUCCUCACAAUUUUCCAUGUUCCUAAUUUGGUAAUUUCCUGUUUUUGGUUAUAUUUUGA